rnacentral:tRNA from 1 species
GCCAGGACAGCUCAGUUGGUUAGAGCAUGGUGCUGAUAAUGCCAAGGUUGCAGCUUUGAUCCAGCUGCAUAUUCCUGCAUUGCA